rnacentral:rRNA from 1 species
GGGGAAUAUUGCACAAUGGGGGAAAACCUGGAUGCAGCGACGCCGCGUGAGUGAAGAAGUAUUUCGGUAUGUAAAGCUCUAUCAGCAGGGGAAGAAAAUGACGGUACCUGACUAAAGAAGCCCCGGGCUAACUAC